AUAGUGCACUGUCAAUGUAGACUCACUGAGCCAUGGGUGGCACUCCCUGUCUGUCUCACCUCUGUCCAUUCACUGAUGCUGGGAUGUUGGUUUGGCAAUGAAUCAGGACAAGAUAGGGGCCAUUAAUGAUUACCUUGACAAGUUAAAAAACUGUUGAACUUGCUGUCUAGACUAUUGCAUUAAAAAGAGAUGUUUGGGUAAAAUACUAGAGUAGGUCUGUGCACUAACUGUCAUGCUUGUGAAGAGGAAGGGCGGUUUUUGAAGAAGUAGGAAAAGGACAAAAUAAAGUUUUAUUCCUGACUGUUUAUGGAUUAUCAAAUUGCAUCUGCCAUCUGUUGGCCUGGUUUCCUGAAAACAUUCACAGUCUUCGAUUUCUGGUUGUGUUGUUGCCCUGAAUUCCAGUUGUGUUGUACCUCUGUUGAAACCACAACAUAUGAUCACCUGACAAUAACAUCUCGCUUUUCAGUUUCUGCUUCUAAAUACAGGAUCUGUGAGCCGUAUCUGGAUGCUGCAAAAAAGUACCACUCUGGAUUCCACUGUCCACGGCUUAAUGAAGAUCAGAGACAAACCCACUGCUGUCAUCAGAGCAACCAAACCUUGAAAUAUUGCUGCAAUGAAGCUGAAUUUCAGAGCACAAUGAAAAUGAACAAGUCAGCACAGACAAGGAGCUCUGUGUACGUAUGAAAAUGGGACCAGUUAAUUACGGAUCAAUGGCUGUGGUCUUUGUGUAUGGUCUCUGUGUUGUGGCCCUGUUGUUGACAGACCUGCUUCAUUACUACAUGCUAAACAGGCACAAUCUCUGGUGGUACCAGCCUCCCCACUGUCUCUGUGGAUGCUGCAAUGGUGACCACAAAAAAACAAGCUCAGACACAACCCAGAAGUGAGUGCUGUCAUCGCUGGUCAUCACCGGGGCAAUGGUCAUUGCUGAGUAAAUGGUCAUCGCCAGAUAAUGGUCAUCAAUGAAUCAAUGGUCAUGUUGCAUCAUGGUCAUCACUGAGUCAAUGGUCAAUGCUGGGUGAAUGGUCAUCACUGGAUUAAUGGUCAUCAAUGAGUCAAUGAUUACCACUGGAUUAAUGGUCAUCAAUGAGUCAACGAUUAUCACUGGGUUAAUGGUCAUUACUGGAUUAAUGGUCAUCAAUGAGUCAACGAUUAUCACUGGGUUAAUGGUCAUUACUGGAUUAAUGGUCAUCAAUGAGUCAAUGAUUAUCACUGGGUUAAUGGUCAUUACUGGGUUAAUGGUCAUUACUGGGUCAAUGGUCAUUACUGGGUCAAUGGUCAUCACUGGGUUAAUGGCAUUCAGGCAGCUUAUAUCUACUGACAUUUAAAGAUCUUUUCAUUGAUGAUAUGACUGGGCAGUGGUGGAAAUGCCAGCAUUGAGCUGAUCUUUAAGGGGAGGCUGGGUUCACAGCUAAAUAUU